ACCAUUGCCAAUAGCUUUUUAGACUUCCCGCCUGAGGAAUGUGGAUAUUUGGUUCUUGUGGUUUCGUUUCUCCGAAUUCAAUAGCUCGAAAAGCUACAUUACCUUCCCAUGGCUGCUGUUUCUGUAUCCGAUCUAAGCAACUCCCACCACGACAAUGACAAUCUUUUCACAUCUUAUUUUCAAAAGACAGUUUCAUUGUGCGAUUGGUGGUUGAUAAAGGCUGACAAGGACUUCCAAGGGAAGAGGCUUGCUGUUGCCGGCGUCACUUCAAGAGAGCAACAAGUACUGCGUGUGUUUCAUUCUGCACCCAUUACCAAAAGAUACGAUGUUUUCACUCUUGAGACAGCUGAUGGUAUUAUUGUUGUUUUCCAAGGCUUCAUUAACAAGACACGCACAAUUGAAAAUGGGUUCCCUUCUGAGGUUUUCAGUCAUUUCUUGUUUGGUUUCCCACCUUAUUGGGAGGAAUACGCUGAGAAUUGCUUCAAACAAGCUGUUAGUUCUGACUUUGAUUUUCAGAAUGCCUCUGAUUUUGAUGAGUCCACCGAUCAAGGCUCAGAAGAUUUUAGGCCAAUUCCAUCUCCAUAUAAAAACAAGGACACUAGUGAAAAUGAAUUAAAUAUCAAGGCAGAAGUGAACAUAUCAGAGAAAAUGCUAAAUGCUGCAAGAAUCUUGAGAAAUUUGUCGGGGAAUUUGAAAAGCAAAGAGAAGAGUGAACAAAUAUCGGUUGAUAAAGGAAGUUCAUCCAUGAAGAAAGCUAGAAGGAAGAUUAGUUUUGAUGAACAAGUAAACUCUUCCAAAUCUUCUGCAAGUCCUCUUGCUGGGAAAAGCAAAGAGAAAAUAUGUAUUCUCUCUCCUGAAUCCUUGAGUCUUAGAAGAUCGAGAGCAGCUAACUACACGCUAUAUACAGAUUUGAUGGAUGGAGACUACUUUUACCUACUCUAGAUUUCUGGCGCAACCAAAUUCCUGUUUAUGAUGCGGACCGUAACAUCACUGGAAUCCAGGAAGAAUUAAAAAUUUCUGGAGGGUGCAAGUCUGAGCCUCAGAGCAGAAGCAAAAGAAAAGGCAAGUCAUAAUUUAGAAAACGGAGAAGCUGGGAGGAUGAUAACAAGACAAUCAUAUUUUACGUGCAAAGGACUGCUCAUAUCUGCCUUUUGCUUUUGCCUAUACAGGAAAAUGUGAUUGUGAAAAAUCUGAUCCCAGUGCACUUUGUUCUCUCAAAUAGUUUCAGAUUGCAGCUUUGCCUGCCUAAUUGUGUAAUUAUCCCUGUAAUUACAUGCUGAGUAAUUAGUCUUUUAUAGGGUAAAUUUCAAUAAUUAUCUCUGAA